rnacentral:rRNA from 1 species
CAGCACCUCAAGUGGUCAGGAUGAUUAUUGGGCCUAAAGCAUCCGUAGCCGGCUCUGUAAGUUUUCGGUUAAAUCUGUACGCUCAACGUACAGGCUGCCGGGAAUACUGCAGAGCUAGGGAGUGGGAGAGGUGGACGGUACUCGGUAGGAAGGGGUAAAAUCCUUUGAUCUAUUGAUGACCACCUGUGGCGAAGGCGGUCUACCAGAACACGUCCGACGGUGAGGGAUGAAAGCUGGGGGAGCAAACCGGAUUAGAUACCCGAGUAGUCC